rnacentral:rRNA from 2 species
UGGGGAAUAUUGGGCAAUGGGCGAAAGCCUGACCCAGCAACGCCGCGUGAAGGAAGAAGGUCUUCGGAUUGUAAACUUCUUUGAUCAGGGACGAAGAAAUGACGGUACCUGAAGAACAAGCCACGGCUAACUACGUGCCAGCAGCCGCGGUAAUACGUAGGUGGCAAGCGUUAUCCGGAUUUACUGGGUGUAAAGGGCGUGUAGGCGGCUCCGCAAGUCAGAUGUGAAAUUCCCAGGCUUAACCUGGGCGCUGCAUCUGAAACUGCGGAACUUGAGUACUGGAGAGGAUAGUGGAAUUCCUAGUGUAGCGGUAAAAUGCGUAGAUAUUAGGAGGAACACCGGUGGCGAAGGCGACUAUCUGGACAGUAACUGACGCUGAGGCGCGAAAGCGUGGGGAGCAAACAGG